GGUGCUGGUCGGUUGGGAAAGAAGAAGCAACAUCUUCUUUUAAUUACACUCCAAAACACUAUUCACUCCAGGCAGUUAUAACUGUUCGGAAUAGUUGGAGCCCUUCUGAAUGUCCGUUUGAGCUCAAAUUUGACAGGCAGGCUCAGUUUAACGUACUGAGUAAGAAUAUAUCUUAAGUUUUCAGUUUCGACCCCGUUUGGUCACUGAAAACUGUACCGAACUGUAAUCUUUAUCAGAUACUUGUCGGAUUUUAUUUCUCACUCUACGUGUGUCAGAAAAAUAUGAAACUUUAAAUCUAGCAUCAUAAAAAUAUUUUUGACUUAUCCUCCAAUUUUCAUAAUUUUCUGAGACUGUGCAUUUUCUGCUAAUUUAUCUGUCCCGUUUCCAACAGAAAAUUCUAGAUAUUCUGUUUUCAUUCCGAUUUCAGCACAAGACACUUCUGACUUAUGCUUUACUCCUCUAAAUCCAAUAAAAAUAGUAUCUUACACUAUUUUUAUUUAUUUUUAUUUUUAUAUUUAAAAUUCGGUAUAUUACAUUCCACCGUAACCUCACCGAAACCAUUCAAAUGGCUUUCAAACCAAAUGUACACCGUA
rnacentral:lncRNA from 1 species